UCGGGUUAGAGUAUAGUAUUUGAUUUAAUUUCUGUUUUUUAAAUUAUAUAUAUUAAAUAAUAAGGAUUAGUAGUUAGUGGUUAGUGGUUAAUUGGGGUAAUUAGGGUUAUGAGUUUGGGAUUAGAGGUUUAGAGUUAGAGAUUUAGGGUUUAGAGAUUUGGGGUCGAGUUAGGGUUUAAGGUUUAGGGUAAUUAGUAUUUUUUAAUU
rnacentral:lncRNA from 1 species